rnacentral:rRNA from 1 species
GACGAACGCUGGCGGCGUGCCUAAUACAUGCAAGUAGAACGCUGAAGGAGGAGCUUGCUUCUCUGGAUGAGUUGCGAACGGGUGAGUAACGCGUAGGUAACCUGCCUGGUAGCGGGGGAUAACUAUUGGAAACGAUAGCUAAUACCGCAUAAUAUUGACUAUUGCAUGAUAGUCAGUUGAAAGGUGCAACUGCACCACUACCAGAUGGACCUGCGUUGUAUUAGCUAGUUGGUGGGGUAACGGCUCACCAAGGCGACGAUACAUAGCCGACCUGAGAGGGUGAGCGGCAACACUGGGACUGGGACACGGCCCAGACUCCUACGGGAGGGAGCAGUAGGGAAUCUUCGGCAAUGGACGGAAGUCUGAGCGAGCAACGCCGCGGGAGUGAAGAAGGGUGUCGGGUCGUAAAGCUCUGUUGUAAGAGAAGAACGAGUGUGAGAGUGGAAAGCUCACACUGUGACGGUAUCUUACCAGAAAGGGACGGCUAACUACGUG